CCGAAACUCCCAGACAGAGGCGAAACUCAUGCAUGUUCGGCGGCACCUUCGGCGGCCGAAAGUGCCAGACAGAGACGAAAGUCUCUUUUCGGGGGCAACUUCGGCAGCCGAAAGGCCUGCCUCCCCAGCCAUGUUCGGCGGCCGAAAGCUCCUUCGGCUGCCGAACCUGGUUUCCGCGAAAGGGCAGAAACUUGGCUCCU
rnacentral:lncRNA from 1 species